rnacentral:rRNA from 1 species
UCCUAAGCUGAGGCCGACAGGCGUAGGCGAUGGAUAACAGGUUGAUAUUCCUGUACCACCAUUAUUCGUUUUAAGCGAUGGGGGGACGCAGUAGGAUAGGCGAAGCGUGCUGUUGGAGUGCACGUCCAAGCAGUGAGAUUGAGUGUUAGGCAAAUCCGGCACUCUUAAGAUUGAGCUGUGAUGGGGAGAGGAACUUGUUCCUCGAGUCGUUGAUUUCACACUGCCGAGAAAAGCCUCUAGCUAGAAUAACGGUGCCCGUACCGCAAACCGACACAGGUAGUCAAGAUGAGAAUUCUAAGGUGAGCGAGCGAACUCUCGUUAAGGAACUCGGCAAAAUGACCCCGUAACUUCGGGAGAAGGGGUGCUCUUUGAGGUUCACGCUUCGAAGAGCCGCAGUGAAUAGGCCCAAGCGACUGUUUAUCAAAAACACAGGUCUCUGCUAAACCGUAAGGUGACGUAUAGGGGCUGACGCCUGCCCGGUGCUGGAAGGUUAAGAGGAGUGGUUAGCGCAAGCGAAGCUACGAAUCGAAGCCCCAGUAAACGGCGGCCGUAACUAUAACGGUCCUAAGGUAGCGAAAUUCCUUGUCGGGUAAGUUCCGACCCGCACGAAAGGCGUAACGAUUUGGGCACUGUCUCAACGAGAGACUCGGUGAAAUCAUAGUACCGGUGAAGAUGCCGGUUACCCGCGACAGGACGGAAAGACCCCGUGGAGCUUUACUGUAGCCUGAUAUUGAAAUUCGGUACAGUUUGUACAGGAUAGGUAGGAGCCUUAGAAGCGUGAGCGCUAGCUUACGUGGAGGCAUUGGUGGGAUACUACCCUAAUUGUAUUGGAUUUCUAACCCGCAGCACUUAUCGUGCUGGGAGACAGUGUCAGGCGGGCAGUUUGACUGGGGCGGUCGCCUCCUAAAGAGUAACGGAGGCGCUCAAAGGUUCCCUCAGAAUGGUUGGAAAUCAUUCAUAGAGUGUAAAGGCAUAAGGGAGCUUGACUGCGAGACCUACAAGUCGAGCAGGGUCGAAAGACGGACUUAGUGAUCCGGUGGUUCCGCAUGGAAGGGCCAUCGCUCAACGGAUAAAAGCUACCCCGGGGAUAACAGGCUUAUCUCCCCCAAGAGUUCACAUCGACGGGGAGGUUUGGCACCUCGAUGUCGGCUCAUCGCAUCCUGGGGCUGUAGUCGGUCCCAAGGGUUGGGCUGUUCGCCCAUUAAAGCGGUACGCGAGCUGGGUUCAGAACGUCGUGAGACAGUUCGGUCCCUAUCCGUCGUGGGCGUAGGAAAUUUGAGAGGAGCUGUCCUUAGUACGAGAGGACCGGGAUGGACAUACCUCUGGUGUACCAGUUGUCGUGCCAACGGCAUAGCUGGGUAGCUAUGUAUGGACGGGAUAAGUGCUGAAAGCAUCUAAGCAUGAAGCCCCCCUCGAGAUGAGAUUUCCCAACUUC